rfam:Vitrella brassicaformis CCMP3155 genome assembly, contig: scaffold387
GUCGCUUUGGCGUAGUUGGGAGCGCGUCAGACUGAAGAUCUGAAGGUCCCGUGUUCGAUCCACGGAGGCGACA